rnacentral:tRNA from 1 species
GCCCCCGUAGCCCAAUCGGCAGAGGCAGACGACUUAAAAUCGUCCGAGUGUGGGUUCGAGUCCCACCGGGGGUA